UCCAGAUGCGGCCGGUGCGCCGGACUCGCGUGCCUAUCAGCUUGUUGGUGAGGUAAUGGCUCACCAAGGCUUCGACGGGUAGCCGGCCUGAGAGGGCGACCGGCCACACUGGGACUGAGAUACGGCCCAGACUCCUACGGGAGGCAGCAGUGGGGAAUAUUGCACAAUGGGCGCAAGCCUGAUGCAGCAACGCCGCGUGCGGGAUGACGGCCUUCGGGUUGUAAACCGCUUUCAGUAGGGACGAAGGGUGACUGACGGUACCUACAGAAGAAGGACCGGCUAACUACGUGCCAGCAGCCGCGGUGAUACGUAGGGUCCGAGCGUUGUCCGGAAUUAUUGGGCGUAAAGGGCUUGUAGGCGGUCCGUCGCGUCAGAAGUGAAAACUCAGGACUUAACCCUGAGCCUGCUUUUGAUACGGGCGGACUAGAGGGAUGCAGGGGAGAACGGAAUUCCUGGUGGAGCGGUGGAAUGCGCAGAUAUCAGGAGGAACACCGGUGGCGAAGGCGGUUCUCUGGGCAUUACCUGACGCUGAGAAGCGAAAGCGUGGGGAGCAAACAGGCUUAGAUACCCUGGUAGUCCACGCCGUAAACGGUGGGCACUAGGUGUGGGGGACAUUCCACGUUCUCCGUGCCGAAGCUAACGCAUUAAGUGCCCCGCCUGGGGAGUACGGAAU
rnacentral:rRNA from 1 species